UCACAGGAUCGAUGAGGUUGGAAAAGAUCUCUGGGAUCGUCGGGUCCAACCUAUGACCGAACACCGUGACGGUCAGACCGUGGCGUUCGGUGCCGCGUCCGGGCUUCCCUUAAACACCUCCAGGGACGGGGACUCCUGCACCUCCCCGGGCGGCCCAUUCCAAUGCGUAAUGACCCCUUCUGUGAAGAAAUUUCACCUGAUGUCCAACCUUAACUUCCCGUGGCGCAGCAUAAGAGUGUGUCCUCUUGUGCUGUCGCCGGUUGACUUGGAGGAGAGGCCAACCCCAAACCUGGCCACACGCUCCUUUCAGGAGCAGAAGUGGAAACUUGGAGAGAAAUCUGUGGCCUGCUAGUAAUGAGAUGGAAGCAAGAGCUGAUGAAAGCUUUGAAGUCUCCUCCUCAGGGAGGAGCAGCAUGUCCUUUGGAGGUGGUACCAGAAUCUGCAGCUUUGUGGCACAAUAUUAGAGUAAUGCUCCUGUCACUGCCAGAGGUUUGGCCGUAGCGCCAGAUAAUGAAUGAGAGUGCAAGCCUGCUGCCCCUCCCUUUGGCAGACCGUGGGUGUUCUUUUGGGUGGCAAUGCUGCCUGUCCCCCCACCCCCUUCCCACCCAUUCCUUUGCAAAGCACAGUUUGUCACCCCCUCGGCUGUGCUAACGCAUCCCCCGCCGAGGAGCGAUGCUGCUGGAUCUGCUAAAUGGUCCCAGCUAAUAAUACCCCCCAAUACCUCUUUCUUUUGGGAAGUUAUUCAAGGAUCCAGCUUGCAGAAUGGCAUGAUAAACAUCUUGGCAAAGCUGAGCUGGCAGCAAAAGGAAGUGUCAGGGCAGGAGUGAGCGGUUGGGGCAAGGAAAUGGCAGGAACGUCUUCAGCUGCUCUACGAUAAGAGACCAGAUGUAAUGAUUUGACACAUUUCCAUCCAUCCUAUGUCUUUUCUUUCCCCCAAAGGAUGCUGAGAUUGCACGGACCUCUAACGUCCUCAAGAUCUUUCAUGCCAAAAAUUUCUGUGAUGAUCAGGAUCAUUGAUGUGCCUGAAGUGGGGAGCGUGGCAUUUAGCAGUUGGUUACUGCAGAAGCAGGAUAUGAGGAGAGUUAUAGCCAUGUGAAAAACCCAGGGCACAAUCAUGUAAUUAAAAGGCCAUUAUAAUGGUUAUACCUCUGAGGAGGACUGGGUAUUAAUCACUGUCUGAUUAAUACUUGAGAGCUUGUCUGUGUGAUCUGGAUGUAUUUUUAUGUGCUUAUGUUGUGUGCGCGCAUAUUUACCCCGAUGGUGAGAAGCAAAUGUGGCUGAGGCUCGGAAGCUGAAGUUUUACUUGAUCUAGCUUCUUGAGUCAUUUCCUGUGGAUUUGCAAGAUCUCUUAUUUGAUCUCCGCUUUCACUGUCCUGCCAAUUUGCAAGCUGCUAAGCGAUUUAUUCUCUUAAUGACUUCUCUCACUCGCUGCACAACCCUUUUACUGUUGCUUUCACCGAAGUAUUGAAUUUUAUUUUUCUAAUAUUUAGGUUACUGUGCCGGUUCUUGCAAGCAGCGUGCUUGAGCUGGCUGACUUUUCUGAAUGAAAAGGCUCCCUCUCCGAGGUGUGAUUUCUGUUUGUGCUUUGUGUUGUUUGUAUACAGAGCUUCUGCUCAGACACAGAAUAGCGCUUCCCUGUGAUGUGAUCGUUAAGGUACCUAGAAUUAAUUAGCCUUUGGUGGCAGAGCUUCAAGGCAGCAGCUCCUGCAUACUAACGAUAUUUGCCUGCUAUGACUGUCCCCUGUUUUAUGUUCCAAAUAAACAUUUAUUUUGCAGAGUAA